GGAAGCUGUCGCCGGCUGGCAGCCGGCCGGCGGCUCUGUCCACUUUGGAGUUGUGCAGUGUAGUAGCCUGGGCUGCCGGAGCUUGCUGUGGCUGCUGGCCGCGGCUGUCGGAAGGAACCCCCAAGGAGUUCUUUCCCAGGGGCGCAGCCUGGGCACGCGUCCCCCGGCGACGUGUGACCCGAUCUGCCGGCUGCUGCUUCGGAGUUCGUAAGUGUCCAUGGGCCGCGCGGGGCUGCGAAGAGACUCUCCGCCUGGGCCAUGAUGAUGAAGGUCGUCAAAAGUUUUCCUCAUCUCGGUUGGAAGAGGCUAGUUGAUGGGCUCUGUUGACAGAAGCGAGCGGGAGAAGCAGGGCUUUCUCUGUCGCUUUGCAGUGCCAGUAGUAUCGAGGGUCCAGAGUUCACUCAGUAGCAUCCAGACUUGUUCUUUUCUGGGACAGUUCAUGCUCUCACUCCUGACACCAGAAUAAAAUAGGAGGCUGUCAUCUGUGGAAACCCACUUGUCCUUUCAGCCAUGAAGGCACAAACAGUGUCCCCUACCCAGGGGAGUAUCUCCGAGUCCAGUUAUGUUUACAGCAAUCUAUGGAGUAGCUGGAAACUAAUGUUCGUGGGGGUCUUGCUGGGCUGGCUACUGGUCAUCCACCUUCUGGUCAACAUGUGGCUUCUGAUCCUUCUGUGUGCAUCGCUGGUAGUGCUGGGAGCAUGGCUGGGCUCCACUGCCAUCGUAGGGGCUUCAGGUCAAUUGCACCUGGAACGAUUCAUUACAAUUGCCACCUGUCCUCCAUGUCCCGAGGCAGAAAGGCAGCUGGAACAGGAGAUUAACCGCACCAUCCAGAUGAUUAUCCGAGACUUCGUGUUAUCCUGGUAUCGUUCAGUGAGCCAUGAGCCGGCAUUCCAGGCAGAGAUGGAAGCAGCCAUGAAAGGGUUAGUUCAGGAGCUUCGAAGGCGGAUGAGCUUAGUGGACAGCCAUGCCCUUACCCAGAAGGUUCUGACACUCUGUGGUUGUCACCUGCAGAGCUAUAUUCAGGCAAAGGAGGCUACUGCGAAGGAGCAGAGCUGUCCAGUCCAGCCCUCCCAGCUGUGGGAUGCUUACUGUCAGGUGACUACCCCCCACCCUGCCAUGAGCUGUCCCACCACGGAGGUCACGUAUGCACGUGGCAUUGUGAAUUUGAUACUAAAAGAGUUAGUGCCCAAGCCCCACCUGGAGACUAGGACGGGACGGCACGUUGUGGUUGAACUUAUUACUUGCAAUGUAAUCUUACCACUGAUCAGCAAGCUAUCAGAUCCUGACUGGAUCCACCUUAUACUUGUGAGUAUCUUUUCCAAGUGCAGACAAGAUGCAGCCCAAGCAACUAAACCCCCCUGCCCACCCAGUGUCCCAGAGCAGCCCUCAGUGCCCACGUCUCUGCCAUUGAUUGUUGACGCAGAGAGUCUGCCCUUAGGAAAAGCAUCUUCUCCAGCAACAGUCCCAGUGCAUGUCACCUUCAAUGAGCUAGCCCCCUCCCCAGAGAUCGAAGAAGGCUACGAAGCUGUAGAGGGAGAUUUGCCUGGGAUGCUUGAAGAAAGAAAAGUAGGAAAUGACUCAUCCCAUUUUCUACGGCCAGAUAUCCGAGGCCCCUUGUUUUUAUGUGAAGACUCAGAACUAGAGUCGCCACUGUCUGAACUGGGCAAAGAAACCAUCAUGCUGAUGACCCCAGGCAACUUCCUUUCAGACAGGAUCCAAGAUGCUCUGUGUGCCCUAGACGAUUCCGGGGCUCUGGAACCUAAGGAUGGCGAGGGGUCUGAGUGCAUGGACGGAGCAGAAGCUGAGGAGGCUCCAGGAACGGAGACAGAGACCGGCAUGCUGGUCUCCAUGCUGAAUUGCCCAGAGAUCCAGAUUGACACUGCAGACAAGGAGGCAGAGCAAGAUGACACCUCUCUUACAGCUUUGCUAGAGGAACCAGAAAAAACCUGUCCCCUACGGCCUUCAUGCCUAGACAAAGAUCUCCCCAGCAGCAUUUGCUCCCUUGAGCCCGCUGUACCCCCAGUGCCACUGUCCUCCUCUCCACCUGGUCCUCUCGGCUCAGCCACCUUCAGCUUCGAGUCCCUGAGCAGUCCAGAUGGCCCAGUUGUCAUCCAGAACCUUCGGAUCACUGGCACCAUCACUGCCCGAGAGCACAGCGGGACGGGAUUCCACCCAUACACGCUAUACACUGUGAAGUAUGAGACAGCGCUUAAUGGCGAGCACAGCAGCGGCCUACAGCAGCUGGCCUAUCACACCGUGAACCGCCGCUACCGGGAGUUCUUGAAUCUGCAGACCCGCCUGGAGGAGAGACCAGAUCUACGGAAGUUUAUCAAAAAUGUGAAGGGUCCAAAAAAGCUCUUUCCAGAUCUUCCAUUUGGAAACAUGGAUAGUGACAGAGUAGAAGCCCGGAAGAGCCUCCUGGAGUCCUUCCUGAAGCAACUUUGUGCCAUCCCUGAGAUUGCCAACAGUGAGGAGGUGCAGGAGUUCCUUGCCCUGAACACAGAUGCUCGGAUUGCCUUUGUCAAGAAGCCGUUCAUGGUCUCUAGGAUAGACAAGAUGGUGGUGAGUGCUAUCGUGGACACCCUGAAGACUGCGUUUCCUCGCUCUGAGCCCCAGAGUCCCACAGAGGAGCUGAGUGAAGCAGAGAGUGAAAACAAGCCCCAGACAGAAGGCAAGAAGUCUAGCAAGUCCAGACUGAGGUUUUCAUCCAGUAAGAUUGCCCCUGCACUGAGCAUAGCUGAGGCACAGGACAAGAUUCUGUACUGCCUCCAGGAAGGCAAUGCGGAGUCAGAGAUCCUGUCCAUGUCUGGGAUGGAAUCUUUCAUUGAAAAGCAGACAAAGUUACUGAAAAUGCAGCCAGUAGAAGUCCCAGAUAAAGAUCCCCAGCAAGUCCCCAAAGAAUAUGUGGAUAGUGGCUUGCUGGAUAAAGCUGUGACAGCCCAAGAGCUCAACAAGAGUGACCCAGGAACAGAGACGGGGUUAGCUGACACGGCCUUUGAUCUGAUCCUCCUGCUGAUGAUGGAGCAGUGGAAGUGGCUGUGCACGGAAAGCACGCAGAAGUUCCUCCGCAUUAUUUUCGGAACUCUAGUUCAAAGGUGGCUAGAAGUCCAAGUGGCUAAUCUAACAUGUCCCCAGCGCUGGGCACAGUACCUCCGUCUUCUUCGGGAAUCUAUCUGGCCUGGUGGAGUGCUGCCCAAGUUUCCACGGCCUGGACGGACUCAGGCACAGAAAGCAGCUACUGAGAGGCAGGCUUUGCAGAGCUUGAUGGGUCUCCUUCCAGACUUUUUAGUAGAAAUCCUGGGGGUGAACAAGUGUCGGCUGAGCUGGAGUCUAGUCUUGGAAUCCUUCCAGCAGCCUCUCAUCAACAGACAUUUGAUUUACUGCCUCGGAGAUGUUAUCCUGGAGUUCCUGGAUCUCAGUGCCUCUGUUGAAGAGUGUGUCCCACCCACCUCUGCCUCAGAUUCCCCAAGCAGCCUCAAGAAGAUGGCUGUUUCCACUUAGCUAGGACACGGUCUCCAAAGGCUUGUAAGAGAGCUGUUCAACUUCCAGAGACAGCUAAGAUGCCUGUGCCCUCUGGAGCUAGGUUAGCGUAGCUGGUCUCAGGGGCUCAGUUCCCCUACCAGGUCUCCCUUAGUAGCACAGAACAGAGCUACAUAGCCUAUUUGCAUGUGUAUCUGUUUCCAUAGUCCUUGGCAUGUGGAUUGCUGCAGGGAGGAGGUCUUGUUUCCUUGGGAACAGAAGCUGUAAAGCAGAGGCUAUUCCUUUGCCUUCUUCUGACCAUCAUGGUUUGCCAACAGCAUGGCCCUGCACUUUUGUGAACGUAAUCCAUGAAUGUACAAGUGGUAGGUAAUACAGGAGAAAAACUGUAGCCAGAUUUCCUGGGUGGAGAAACAGUCUCCUAAGUUAUUUUCCUACCCGGAAACUAAACAUUCAUUCAGGAUCACCCCUCACCCUGCCUAGUUUCUGAACAAUUCCAGAAGAAGAGGGAAGGAAAGUAUGUCUCCAGGGAUUUGCUCUUUGGCUAUUUUCUGACACCGUGGACUUCUAAAGGAUGUCAAGAAUACUGCUUCCUGGGGUGGCUAUACUUUUCCUGUCCAGAAGGCUUCAAAGCAUGCUGUCAAACUUCUGAAUGAGCAACACUGAUUUCUGGAAGGCUUCUUCCCAACACCCACCUCUUCACAUGGCCAUAGCCACCUGUGUCCAUUUGAAUCGGCUGCCAGUCCUAGUGCACGUGUGCACAAACCCUGUCAAUAACCCAACACGCCGUGAGUUCCUAUGGCAAUGAACUCUAAGGGAUCUCUUCAUGCCUGGAGCCCAGAGAACUUCCUUAUAUUUCAUAGAAGAGGACCCACUUUUACUCCACCUGCCCUCAAAAGAUAAGCAAUCCUCAAGAGGGGAAUAAUAUAACCAAGGAUAUGUCAAAAUCCAUCUGGCUUUGAAAAAGACCUGCUAAGUUUGGUAGCAGGUUCAGAGAACAAGAUCACCAGCCUAUGGGAGAGAGAGAGCCGCAGGAGUUGGGAUGCUGCUCGAGACUGGAAGUGGAAAAUCAGGAAGAACUGAGCCCGCACUUGGCCCACUUCAUGUCUUUCCUGUUUGGCCUUUUUAAGACUUAGUUUACUCAUUUAAUUCAGACUAGUAAUACCUGAAAUGAGACCAACACCCAUUCUAUCUUGAUUGCACACUUGUAAAAAGAUGAGGGAUGGGUGGAGACUGAGCUCUUUCUGGCAAUUUCUAAAUGCCAUCCUUUCUGUUAUUUAUUGAAGUUCAAGAAAGCUGUAUGUAAUUAUAUAAUUUUAUGUAAAUAUAUAGUAGACCACAAUUUUUAUUUUCAAGCUUCUGGAUUAGAUUUUGUAAAACCUAGAAGGAAAACACUCUCCUAAAUCAGAGCAUAGGAAAUGUGAGAAUUUAAUACUAAUGGAAGUUUCCCUGACUGCUAUUUUGAAGUUUCUAGCAUACAACAUUAUCUUUUGUUGUAAGGGUGUCAUGGAGUUUUUUCCAUAAACACUGUUGUAUACCACAUCUCUAGAACAUUUCCAUCAUGUGUAACUUUAUACUCAGGGAAGAGCAAUCUCUCCUGUCCCCUGGAGGGUAGUGGUGGUGGACUUGAUGGUCUCCAUUCCACAGUCUGUGUAUGCGCAUCUAUACACUACAAGUGAGUGGAGUUGAUUAGUAUGUGCCCUGUAACAGACUUACUUCACUUGGCAUUGUGGCUUCUGGCUCAUGUAUGCUUCAGCACGUGGAAAGUUCUUUCUUAGACUCAACAAUGUCUCUUGUGAAUGCACUGCAUUUUCUUCAUCUAUUUGUCCAGUGGUGGUGAUCUAGGCUGCUUUCAUUUUUUGGCUAGUAUGAAUGCAAUGGAAAGGGGACUGUAAGUAUUUCUGUUGAUUCCUGCAUUCAAGGCUUUUUUUUUAGAUGAAAGUAAGAUUGCUAGAUUAUUUAGUUGUUUUUUGAAUAUUUGAAGUACCUACACACUGGUCUGUGUAGCAGCUACAUUUCUACCAAGAGUGUCUAGAGGUGUGUGUAUACUCAUACAUUUAAUAAUGUCCCCCUCAUGCAUGUGAGGUGCCGCUCCACUGUGGUCUUCAUCUGUAGAACUCAGAUCUUCUUGAGUUCUCCAGCGCUUUUCUCAGUCCAUUCCUUUCCAGAGACCAAUCUUUCUUUGCUCUUAGCACCUAACAGCUGUUAGAUCGUAGAUGGGGUGGCAAUGUAAACACAGUCCCUGGCUGUGUAUUAGACUGUUCUAGACAGGAAUGAAGGUGCUGGGAACAUUGUGUUUUCUUCCAUAAAGUCAGUGCACAGAAGUUAAUGAGUCCCAGGGGCUCACUGAUUCAACAACUCUGGGACCUCACAAGAGCUGUUUUGUUAUUUGUUUGUCUGCUCUCCCAUCUUAAACAGUUGAGGUCUGUCCUGAGACUCCUGACCCAUGCUUACUAUGUGCUUCCUGACACUGCAUCCAGACCCACUGCCUGAAAGGAUAGGACAUCUCAAAGAAUGAGGGAUCCAGGAAUCUUACUUAUUACCCUGACCCUCAGUGACAGUCUGUGCACAUUAAGAAUGGUUGGCUUACAGAGGACUUUCCUCCCAAAGACAUAGCAUGUACUAAAUGAAGCUCAGAGAGAUAGGAGAAGGGUUUAUCAAGAAAGCAGCAAUUGAUAGACAUUGCCUCCCUUGGGAGUCAUUCUACUCAUAAGUCUCCAUGGAAGUCCAAGAGCUGCCAUUUGUUGAAAUCAUUGUUUGAAGUACUGCAUAUGUUAUUUGCCUAAAAGUCAACACUGUGAGGUUAAGUUCUGCCAUGUUCUAUUUUAUAGAUGUGGAGCAUGAUACCUAUGUUGACACAUGACAUAUCAGUUACUUGCAAGAAAGUGACAGAGCCUAGAUACAAAUCUCAUCAGUCCUCUCCACUGUACUAAGCUCCCUUUUUGUCUUACAAAGCAGGAUCUAACCAGGUUCUCAUUUUCUGAGGCCUCUCAAGCCUUAUACAGUAGCCAGGAAGCUUCUGUAGAGGAUCAGAAAGCAAAGGUUUCAGGCAUUGUGACUGCAUCCUAAGCUGUAACCACUCAAUUCUUCCAUGGUAGCAUGAAAACAGCCACCAACAAUUCAUAACUAAGUGAACAGUGUUCCAGCAAAGUGUGAAUUAACACCGGCAGCUGGCCAGACCUAACCCAUGAGUGGUAGUUUGCAGAUCCUGUCCAGUGCUUAGAAGAGUGCUUCUCAAACUGUGUGCUUGCAAUUCACCUGGAAUCUCGCUUCUUUUUUUAAAAAAUGCAAAUGCAAAUCUUGAAUUGGUAGUCUGGGAUGGGACCCAGGAAAAGUACAAAUGUCACGCUAUGAGAAGUUGAGGAUACACUUCCUGCCCCUUGACUGAGGAGGCAGGUGAGAGGCUCCCUUCUGAGACCCCAGUAGCACCUGUCAUGUGUCCUUCCUACCACAGCAAUGACUUUCCCCAGCUGAAGGCUAGUCUGUUCUGGAUAGGAAAGGACGGGCACCAGGGAAGAGCCGGUCAUUGGCAAAGAGGGGAGCUAUGAGGCAUUUGUAGUCGAAGGCCCAGCUGGACAAACUCUGCCCUAAUUUGGCCUCUUCUGUUUCCUUUCCCACUGGAAAUGCCAGAAAUCACAGGAUAGUCGUUCUUACUGCCUUUGUGGAAAAGAGAAUGGAACCAUUGAAGGGUGAAGUUCAGCUAGCAAUCCUGUACCAUUACAGAGGGGGAAAAGGGAUUUCUCAGGAGAGCAUCAAGAGGAGGCAUUGUCUCAGGCGUCUUUCCACAUCCUGAACCUUACCUGAUCGUCCCCAUUGCACAGACAGCACUGGCAGUUUGGUUUUGUUUUGUUUUGUUUUGUUUUUAACAGCACAGGUUGCUGGAGAGAUGGCUCAAUGAUUGAGUACUAUCCUGAAAAGAACCAGAGAUCAGCUCCCAGCACCCAUGUCAGGCAACUCCCAAACAGCCUGUAACUCUAGCACCAGAAAACUGAACAUCACUUUUAGACUGCUGGCACCUACACUCAGACAUGCACAUUUUCCUGUACAGAUAGCCACAUAAACAUAUAAUUUAAAAAAUCCAAACCCAAAGGAAGUUCAAAUACCAUAAAAAAACAAACAAACAAAAAACAAAUGAAACUGGUUAGGACCCAUUCCUGCAGCAAGGUGGCAACAAUGAAUGAGCAGAUUCUGCUCAGAAGUGGCAGAGACCCUGUGCACACCAAGACACCUGGCAGGUCCACAGAGCUGCUCCCGCUCUAACAGGCUUCUGGCCACCUCCCCAGCACUACUCACCUGACCAAAGGCCCAUGGCAACUCUGCUUCUCUAGAAACAGAACAAGAUUGAAGGAGGAGCAGGAGGGGAGGAGAAGGAAGGGAGGAAGAGGAGGAAGAGAACACUGUCUGAUAUCUCCUCACUAAUGUGGCAUUGGAUUUCUCCAAAUACUCCCUGUGUUCUGCCCUUACCUGCAGGCAUGCCUAUAGAAGUAAGUGUUAGAGGUUUUGAAAUGUGAACAAUUGGGGACUGCGAGGUGUAAUAAAUGGAGAAAGAGGAGGAACUGAAUCGAGAUCCAAAUGUAAAGAACAUGGCUUGCUUCUUGAGACAGGUCUCUAUGUAGCCCAGGCUAAUCUUGAGCUUACAAUCCUUCCCCCUUUUUAUUUCCAAAAUGCUGUGAUUAUAAGUACCAUGCCCAGCCAAAAACCAUCUCCUUAAGUAAUAUCUACUUAACCCGAAGUAGUCCCUGUGGUCAACAAUGUUUGUUUAGAAAAUAGAAGCUAAUUUUAGUAUUAAAGUGUUACAGUGGUAGACAACCCACACUGGGGUGGUUGCUACUGGCUCCAUUACUCUGUGUCUCCACUGCACUUGGGUGUUACAUGCAAGGGAGAAUUGGCUAUGAUUACCCCCAAAAACUUUAAUUCAUGAUGGGGAAUACCAAGCUCAGGCGUCUCUGAAAACAAAUAAAGGGACUAAUGUGUAACUGGAGAAAUAACUCCAGGGUUAGGAGUGCUUGUUGCUCUUUCAGAAGACUGAAUUCAGUUCGCAGUGCUCUGGUUGGCAGCUGACAACCACCUAACCACCUAGAACUAUAGACCCAAGGGAUCCAAUGACCUCUUCUAGACUCUGAGAUAACUGCACUCACACUCACACACACACACACACUCACUCACACACACACACACACACUCACUCACUCACACACACACACACACUCACUCACACACACACACACUCACUCACACACACACACACAGAGAGAGAGAGAGAGAGAGAGAGAGAGAGAGAGAGAGAGAGAGACGCAUAUACAUAAUUAAAGUAAAAUGUUAAAAAGAGAGACUUUUUAACAGAAGCAAUGACUUGCCUAUGAGGGUUAACUGGGUUUGGAGACCCAUACCAGUCCACUGACUCCCUUUGCUGUAACCCUUGCUGGGGAACCGCUCUGCACUCAUGGCUACCAGAAAGAUUAGCCUUGAAGCUGUUGCCACAGGAGAAAUAGAUCUUGCUUAGGGAAGGAAAUCUCUUCUACAAUUCACAUCCUUUAUUAGUGCCACUCCUGUGAACUCCGAUUGCAGCAACAUGAGAGCAGGCUAGUUCUUUUUCGUCUUCCCAUGCUUGUGGUGAAACAACCUUCUAUUAUCCUGGGAAACAAUUAUUUCAAGCAUGGAGAAAAUAUCUUUCAUUAAGGCUUCCUGGGCCACUGGGAGGGCCACAAGUUUGUUUGACGGUGUGACUUAUUCUGGGGAGCCAACUAUUCUGGGGAUGGUUGAGGCAGGGAGUUGGGUAAGAAAGCUUUACAGAAAUCUUGAGGUUAGCAUUCUGCCUGAACACUUUGUAGCCUCUGCUCUCUUUCCUUGAGCUUGUUUCCACUGGGGAGAUUACCUGAUUCCUGUGCACGCUCCAUGUUGGCCUGUGGUUUCCCCUCCAGCUGUCAGGACCAGCUCAUGUCCCACAGGAUGUACUGUGUGACAUAUGAGUAUUGUGUGGUCUUGCAGCCUAAGCUGUCCCUCUCCUUCUGCAUUAUUUACAUUAUCUCUGCAGUCAAGCCACAUACACGUACUGUCUUCCAUACAGUUAUUUGAGGGCAGUGAGCUCAAGUGUCUCCUUGGUUCCCUAUUGUAUCCCUGUCUGUCAGUCUAUAUGUACAUAGAAAUAUAUCUAUUGCAUAGUUGGUACAAAUAAAUACUAUUUACUUGCAGAUUAUGUUUAUUUAUCCUAAGAUAUAAACUAUAUGAAUAACUCCAAAGAAGCAAUUCUUAAGAGAACAGAGAUAAGACACAGAAACAAGGGUGGGUGGCAAAUUUGCAUCGCAAAGACCUUAUGUCCUCAAUCACAGCAAAUAACAAAGAACAGAAGUUGAUUCUUGUGCUUUCUAAGCAAGAACCUGUACAAGUUUAGGAUGUACUGUGUGACAUGUAAGUAUAUUGGCCGCAUAAAAUCAAAAACUGUAGUCCAGGCUGACCUCAAAGUUAUCAGUCUUCUUGCUUUUGCCUCCCAGAGCUGAGACUCCAUGCAUAUGGUACUACCCUGCUCCACCCCACCAAACAAAACAAAACAAACAAACAAACAAACAACAAAAAUGAGUGGGUACAGCCAUGAAAAUGUUUUUUUAAAGUCAGUGAAUCACUGACCUCUCACUUGUAUUUACAAGUUCACUGAGAUCAGACAGUCCAUGUCUACCUAACGAAAACAUUGUGCGCACCUUCCCACACCUAAUUAUCUGGAAGGAAAGCUGCUACCAAGAUGAGAAAAUAAAGACAACCUACCUCUGCUUCCACUCACUGAGUUCCUUAAUGUUUUCCUUGAGUCUCUUUAGAUCCAAGUUUA